rfam:Picea glauca, whole genome shotgun sequence.
ACAUGCCUACAACAUAGCAUUAAUGCACCAGAUCCAAUUAGAACUCCACAGUUAAGCAUGCUCAGGCUAAAGUAGUACUGUGAUGGGUUAUUGCCCAAGAAGUCCUAGUGUUUUACAUGCC